AUCUCCAUCCCCCAAAUAUUAUCUCCAACGCCCAACUACAUAGUGUCCGCAUCAAGAGUGUUAUGUCCAGUGGGGUUAUGAAAUUUUGACUAACUGCACAAAUAUCUGUCCAAGUCUUCUAUUAAUAGAGAUAAGCUAGGGAAACCCCCUUGGUCUCAAAGCAAACACUCCUCGACAAAAUGGGUUCCAACAAGGCUUUUCUUUUAUUUGCUCUUGUUCUUCUCAUCAUCUCCUCUGAGGUAGCAGCACGAGACCUCCUCGAGCACACUUCUACUCCUGCCAAGCUGAAAGAGAAUGGUGGAUAUGAAAGAAAGCUUGCUGGUGGUAGGUAUCCUGUUCCCAGCCGAGGAAAAGAAUGCUCCCCAUAUGUGAGAAGCUGUCCCAGCAAAGCACCACCACCACCACCAUGCUCACUAUAUAAAAGAAACUGUCCAUGAAAGAAGUUGCGCUCAUCUUUUCAGAUCAUGAUGAACAACUAAUUAUUAGGGCUGCCAAUCGAUACUUGAAGUUAUUGAUUCCUCUCUUUUGUUGCUUCCCUUACAUAAAACUUGCAGUAUGUACGUGCUGUUACUUUCAUAGAAUAAAUGCUCAAUAUAUGUAAGCCUCUCCAAAUCUUCGAUCUGGAGACUCUGGCCGUGCUAAUAUUUCUGUAAAAUUGCAUGGUAAAGCAGUAGUUUUCAUGGUCUCUCCAUUCACAAUAUUAAA